rnacentral:rRNA from 1 species
UACGGAGGGUGCAAGCGUUAUCCGGAUUCACUGGGUUUAAAGGGUGCGUAGGAGGGCAGGUAAGUCAGUGGUGAAAUCUUCGAGCUUAACUCGGAAACUGCCGUUGAUACUAUCUGUCUUGAAUACCGUGGAGGUGAGCGGAAUAUGUCAUGUAGCGGUGAAAUGCUUAGAUAUGACAUAGAACACCAAUUGCGAAGGCAGCUCGCUACACGAAUAUUGACUCUGAGGCACGAAAGCGUGGGGAGCAAACAGG